rnacentral:rRNA from 1 species
UACAGAGACUGCAAGCGUUAUUCGGAUUCACUGGGCGUAAAGGGUGCGCAGGCGGCCGUGUGUGUGAGGCGUGAAAGCCCGGAGCUCAACUCCGGAAUUGCACCUCAAACUACACGGCUAGAGCAUUGGAGAGGGUAGCGGAAUUCACGGUGUAGCAGUGAAAUGCGUAGAUAUCGUGAGGAACACCAGAGGCGAAGGCGGCUACCUGGACAAUUGCUGACGCUCAGGCGCGAAAGCGUGGGGAGCAAAAGGG